UACGUUGGAGUGAUGCAAUGGAUGGUUGUAUGAUAACUGCACUAUUACAUCAAGUGUUGUCUAGUCACAAAAGAAGUGACAAUGACUUUUCAUCAUUUCACGUGUCCAAAGCAAUCGAGAGCGUGCACAAUGGAUGCGGAGUGAUGGUGUCUGAUAAGAAUGUGAGGGCGCGAUUGAAAACUCUAAAAAAAGAAUAUGUCGAAGUUCGUCAGUUGUUAAGCAUGAGUGGUUUUGGGUUAGAUCCUCACACUGGACGUGUCACAGCCGAUGUACUAGCUUGGGAGGAGUUGUUGAAGAAUUUGGAAAGUGGAGGACCAAACUUUGUUCUCGUUAUGAUAAUUUGGAGGCUAUUUUUGGAAAUGAUUCUGCUACAGGAGAUCGUGCUGUAACCGGCAAUGACAUUUUAUCCCCCGAUCAUGAUGAAACUGUGCAUGAAAUUGAUGGUCAAAAUGAGGAUACGGAUCCAAGCCCCAUUCGCGCUCCUAAGCAUAAUGCCGAAGGAGGAACUAACAAAGUUCGCCGUCGACGUACCCAACCUAAUGAUGAGAGUCUCGUUGCCCUAUCAAGCAUUGCCGAAUCAUCCAAAAAAAUUGCUAUCGCUAUGGAGACUCAAGCAACAUUAGAUACGCUAAACCACAUCAAUUGGCAGUUGGUUCUAGAAAAAUUACA